AGAAGCCUCCCAGACCGACUUUUUUGCUCUCUUUUCUUCCUCUUUCUCCUUCACUCCCUCAGACGACUACCUCCUCAACUGCGGCUCUUCCUCCAACGCCGCCUUCUUCAACCACUUUAAGUUGUUGGGUUUACACAAGAAGUGAAACACAGAGACACAUCCGUUCGAUCUUUUGUUGUUGGUUGCUUAUCAAAGGAGUGUUGAGAACGAGAGGAUUUUCAUCUGUGCCCUGUUUGCCGGCAUGAAAGUUUUUGCUGGAUCUUCAGGAUUGCCUGCUUUUCUGAGUUAAAGUUUUGCAGUUCUCUAAGGUUGAAUUGCUCCCACAAGGCUUGGAAACCUGGUUUCAAUUGUUUCCAGUAGGUUUGGACAUCCGGUUUCUUUUACAGAAGAAAUACUGAAAGCGAAGUAGAGAUUCAUAGAAAGAUUUGGAUCAGGUUUGGGAGGGAUCUUUCAGCAAAAGAAGAGACACUAGAAACGGUGUGCUAUCAGCUUCUGUAACUGUGGAUUCAGUUAUGGCGUCAAAGAUGAGAUGCAGCAGAACAAAAAAAAUUGAUACAACAAGGUCAUGCUGAAAAUUAUAAUGAUCAAAGGAGAAUGCAAGAAAUCUAUAAUCAUCAGAAUUUUGUUUCCAGUACAGUUCAAAGUGAAGGUUCUGUUUUUAAAAGAGGUCAACAUUCUGAGGUUAAAUCAAGGAUAUCAAGACGUGCAUUUGAGUUAGCAAUGACAGAACAGAAUCAAUGUCUAGACAGUCAGUAUAGUUCUGUAUGUCAAAAUGUGAAUAUAUCUGAACAUCAGAACAAACGAUUUAGAGAUCAUCAACAAUGGCAGCAAACAUUACGAAUGAAAUGAGUAUAUGUUUCAGGCAAUUGGAAUGUGAGAAGAAGACUGCUUAAAGUGAGGUUGACGCUUUGAAUCAAGAGUUCAAAUAAACUUCCACAUGGAAGUUACAUGUGCAAAUACCUAUAAAAGGAAAACUAUCCGAAACUUUAUAAACGUAUUCUUAAUUUCACCAAUUUAGUUAAUGUUGAUAACUAAUGUAUGUAAUUUGCUUUCAUUUUGUCUCGAUCUGUCAUUCCUUA